ensembl:lincRNA
GCUCCUCUCCAGAUCGCUGGUGUGACAUUUUCCUUGGCAGGCCAGACAGCCCCACACAGCUCGCUCGUGAGAACCCUGUCUUUGGGGGGCACGCAGGGGGCUGAGUCCACCGCAAGCUGUGGUCUGUCCUCUCCCCGCCCGCCUUGCAGAGAUUCUCGCGGCUCAGCUGCGGCUCCACUCUCUUUGCCCGGGAAAGCUCGAACCCACGUGUCCCUUUCCUGUGGGCAGCUACAGCCUGAAUCAGGACACGAGACACCUCCUUCUCUCGGGAAAGACAGACUUUUUAUCUUUUCCUCACUAUGCUCGUCUGCAGUUAGAGCAAGCAGGCUGGAGCUGUGCGCCACAGGAAAAGGGAUUUGGACAUUCAGCAGACAUUUCUGCACCUUCGGAGACACAUUGCUGCUACAGCUGCAGGUUUCAAGGUCUUGGUGUGAAUUGGUUCCGUAGGAAAAGAUGGUGAAUCUCACCUUCUGAGAAGGGGAAUGACCAGAGAGGAGUAGGAAGAAGCACUGCACUGCUGGACAGGCCAGGAUCCUCACUGACAAGGACAGGACACACAGUUCACUCUCCAUUGACAAGGACAGGACACACACCUCAGUCCCUGAAAAUGACUGAAAAUGAUGCCGAUAUAUGAAGAAUAUCGUCACACAAGGUUCACUGCUUGCGCAUUUACCCUCUGUCUGGGAAACAGCAGGCUGGCUGUUAGGAGUUGGACCCCAAGGCUACUCCUGAGUCACAGUUGCAAAUAUUGGGGUGUACCGUUUUCUCUCCUCUACUCUUUUGUUUUAUAACAGUCCCUCAUUUCUAGCUAGUCUUUUCUAAAUCUCAUGUCACGAAUCCUUAUCGAGUGGUAAUUAUUAGCAUCCCGAUAAAAAAUUAGAUGUGUACUCUGUACUAAUUAGAUUAAAGAUUAAAAAUAGAGCAUCUUCAUUAGAACGAGAAAAGAGCAUUCCUUGCUUUGAGCUAGAAGACAAUAUCUGGAGUCUGGCAGAACGUCAAAUGCGAUGCACUUCUUGAUCAAGGAAGAUGAAUAAACAGACAGCAGGAGAUGAAAAACUACCACAAGUUUGAAAUGCCAUAUGAACCACGUCACCCACAGGUUUUCAUUGUCAUCUUACUCUGCACCAUUCAUCCACCACACCAUGUCCUAAGCACUUGCUCCUCUCGAGUGACCAGAACUUGAACACUUUAUACUGGAACCUGUGGGAGGUUUACACAUCAAGUCAAGAUGCACAAGACAAGAUAAGACAUCCCGUUUUUACAUUGUACCUCAUCAAUCCGUUAAACGGAAAACUAAGCAAGAAUAAACUGUAUUUUACACUUUGCAUGUUAGGAACCUACUUUUUUUUUAAGCCUUGGCUGGAGAUUCAUGUUUCAGAAAUAAGUUACUCUUUUAAGAUGUGCAAGUUAGUCGUACACGCUAUGUGGGCUGCAUUUCAGCUUCGUAAUGGCCCUCGCAGGAAUAAGACGGAAAUAAAACUUUCUUUUGCACAUGUUUUGUUUUGCACACGUUAACGGGGGUCUGUUAAAUGCAUUUUGUGUACUGUACAUUUCAUGGCAUCUAUUAGUCAUCAGAAAAGAAUCUUCGUUGAUUGCAUGUAGUUUGUUUAUGUAGCUGGUUGUUUAAGUCACUGAGAAAAUAGUAUCUGUCAUAGUGCCAACAUCUUACAGCUUCUGCAGGCAUUCCGUCUUGUUUCUUCAGAAGAAGGUGUUUAGAGUAAAAACGCUGUGACAGACACUGUGACAGCAUGAUACUAGCAUGGUGUCAUUAGCGCUUAGACUACUCUUACACUAUGGUAGUUUUUCGACCAAACUAAUAUGGCGUUAAAACGGAUAAUUAUUAAUAUUAUACUAGUGAGUGGAAG